rnacentral:rRNA from 1 species
GCGAAUCGCCCUUCGGGGUGCAGCAGGCGCGAAAACUUUACAAUGCGGGAAACCGUGAUAAGGGGACACCGAGUGCCAGCAUCAUAUGCUGGCUGUCCAGGUGUGUAAAAUACACCUGUCAGCAAGGGCCGGGCAAGACCGGUGCCAGCCGCCGCGGUAACACCGGCGGCCCGAGUGGUGAUCGUGAUUAUUGGGUCUAAAGGGUCCGUAGCCGGUUUGGUCAGUCCUCCGGGAAAUCUGACGGCUCAACCGUUAGGCUUUCGGGGGAUACUGCCAGGCUUGGAACCGGGAGAGGUAAGAGGUACUACAGGGGUAGGAGUGAAAUCUUGUAAUCCCUGUGAGACCACCUGUGGCGAAGGCGUCUUACCAGAACGGGUUCGACGGUGAGGGACGAAAGCUGGGGGCACGAACCGGAUUAGAUACCCGGGUAGUCCCAGCCGUAAACGAUGCUCGCUAGGUGUCAGGCAUGGCGCGACCGUGUCUGGUGCCGCAGGGAAGCCGUGAAGCGAGCCACCUGGGAAGUACGGCCGCAAGGCUGAAACUUAAAGGAAUUGGCGGGGGAGCAC